UACGUAGGGGGCAAGCGUUGUCCGGAUUUAUUGGGCGUAAAGAGCGUGUAGGCGGCCAGGUAGGUCUGCUGUGAAAACUCGAGGCUCAACCUCGAGACGUCGGCGGAAACCAUCUGGCUAGAGUCCGGAAGAGGAGAGUGGAAUUCCUGGGUGUAGCGGUGAAAUGCGCAGAUAUCAGGAGGAACACCGGUGGCGAAGGCGCCACUCUGGGCCGAAACUGACGCUGAGGAGCGAAAGCGUGGUAGCAAACAGG
rnacentral:rRNA from 1 species